UACGUAGGGUGCAAGCGUUAAUCGGAAUUACUGGGCGUAAAGCGUGCGCAGGCGGUUUUGUAAGUCUGUUGUGAAAUCCCCGGGCUCAACCUGGGAAUGGCAAUGGAGACUGCAAGGCUAGAGUUUGGCAGAGGGGGGUAGAAUUCCACGUGUAGCAGUGAAAUGCGUAGAUAUGUGGAGGAACACCGAUGGCGAAGGCAGCCCCCUGGGUCAAAACUGACGCUCAUGCACGAAAGCGUGGGGGGCAAACAGG
rnacentral:rRNA from 1 species